rnacentral:rRNA from 1 species
CUCUUCUUGAAUUAUGUAAGAAGUAUGGCCUGCCCAAUGAUUUUUUUUAAUGGCCGCGGUAUAUUGACCGUGCAAAGGUAGCAUAAUCAUUAGUCUUUUAAUUGAAGGCUGGAAUGAAUGGUUGAACGAGAUAAUAACUAUCUUAAUUUUAUUAAAUUGAAUUUAAUUUUUGGGUUAAAAAGCUUAAAUAAUUUUUUGGGACGAGAAGACCCUAUAGAGUUUGAAUAUAAUUAAUAGUUGAACUUAAUUAGUAAUAAAUUUGAUUAUAAAUAGUAUUUUGUUGGGGUGAUGAAAAGAUAAGAGUAACUCUUUAUGUAAUUUAAUUAUAAAUUUGUAUUAUUUUGAUCCACAAUUGGUGAUUAAAAGACUAAAUUACC